AGCUUUGCGCAGUGGUGAUAUCGUAACCGUUGAGGUACAACCGAGGUGCAAUUAUUGCUAGAUGUAAACUGAAAGGCUUACACGAAAGUGAAGCGUAUUAAAUAUCACAUUACAGCAAUAGAGUGAUUUUAUUAAAA
rnacentral:snRNA from 1 species